UACGUAGGGGGCAAGCGUUGUCCGGAAUCAUUGGGCGUAAAGAGCGUGUAGGCGGCCCGGUAAGUCCGCUGUGAAAGUCCAGGGCUCAACCCUGGGAUGCCGGUGGAUACUGUCGGGCUCGAGUCCGGAAGAGGAGAGUGGAAUUCCUGGUGUAGCGGUGAAAUGCGCAGAUAUCAGGAGGAACACCAAUGGCGAAGGCAGCUCGCUGGGACGUGACUGACGCUGAGACGCGAAAGCGUGGGGAGCAAACAGG
rnacentral:rRNA from 1 species